rnacentral:rRNA from 1 species
AUGCGUGCGUGCGUGAACGUGCCACGAUCAUGCUCAUCUCGCUCUCUUUGCGAGAAGAAGAACAAUUUAAUUAUAGUUUCAACGAGCAAGCAACGGAUUAGUGGGACAAAUCGACUGACUCGUUCACCAAUGCUCGGCAUGCAGCUCGGAAUGGCGAGCGCUCUGGAAACGCUGGCCGGCCAGGCCUUCGGCGCCAAGCAGUACGCCAUGCUCGGCAUCUACCUGCAGCGCUCGUGGAUCGUCCUCCUGCUCUCCGCCGCGCUCCUCCUCCCGAUGUACGUCUUCGCGGCCCCGCUGCUGGCCGCCAUGGGCCAGCCGGCCGAGGUGGCGGGCCUGGCGGGCCAGCUCGGCGUGUGCAUGCUCCCGAUGCACUUCGGGUUCGCCGUCCUCCUGCCCAUCAACAGGUUCCUGCAGAGCCAGGGAAAGAACUGGGUCAUGGCGGCCACGGCGCUGGCGUCCUUCCCCGUGCACGUGGCCACCACCUGGCUGCUCGUGGUCCGCUUCCGCUUCGGGGUGCACGGCGCCGCCAUGGCCCUCAACGUCUCCUGGGGGCUCAGCCUGGUGGUGCAGCUCGCGUACGUCGUCGGCGGCGGGUGCCCCUUGACGUGGACCGGCUUCUCGAGGUUGGCGUUCGCUGACCUCUCCGGGUUUAUCAAGCUGUCCCUGUCAUCUGGUGUCAUGGUAUGCUUGGAGAAUUCAUACUACAAAGUGCUGCUCUUGCUCACAGGACACCUCAAGAACUCUCAGCUUGCUGUGGAUGCCCUUUCUAUCUGCAUGAGUUUUCAGGGAUGGGAGAUGAUGAUUCACAUGGCCUUCUUAGCAGGCACUGGGGUGAGAGUUUCUAAUGAGCUUGGCGCGGGCAACGGGAAAGGCGCGCGGUUCGCGACCAUCGUCUCGACGGCGAACUCCUUUCUGAUCGGCCUCUUCUUUAGCUUGCUUGCACUCGCCUUCCACGACAAGAUCGCGCUCGUCGUUUCAUCAAGCAAAGCUGUGAUCGACGCGGUGGACAACCUCUGCGUUCUGCUGGCCAUUAGCAUCCUCCUAAAUGGCGUCCAACCUGUCCUUUCAGGAGUUGCUGUUGGAUCAGGGUGGCAAACACUAGUGGCUUAUAUAAACGUAGGAAGCUACUACAUCAUUGGAGUUCCUGUUGGACUCCUGCUGAGUUGGCUCUUCAAUCUUGGAGUUCUUGGGAUUUGGGCAGGGAUGAUCGGUGGCACUGCAGUUCAGACAAUAAUUCUGGCGUAUAUUACCAUGAGAUGUGAUUGGGACGAAGAGGUCAUUUCUUUGUCCGGCCCUCAGUUUUAUAGUCAAUCAGUCAUCAUAACAUUGACUUGUUGGAAUUAUGCAGGCUUCUAA